AUACGGAGGAUCCGAGCGUUAUACGGAUUUAUUGGGUUUAAAGGGAGCGUAGGUGGACAGUUAAGUCCGUUGUGAAAGUUUGCGGCUCAACCGUAAAAUUGCAGUUGAUACUGGCUGUCUUGAGUACAGUAGAGGUGGGCGGAAAUCCGGGUGUAGCGGUUGAAUGCUUAGAUAUCACGAAGAACUCCGAUUGCGAAGGCAGCUCACUAGACUGUUACUGACACUGAUGCUCGAAAGUGUGGGUAUCAAACAGGAUUAGAUACCCUGGUAGUCCACACAGUAAACGAUGAAUACUCGCUGUUUGCGAUAUACAGUAAGCGGCCAAGCGAAAGCAUUAAGUAUUCCACCUGGGGAGUACGCCGGCAACGGUGAAACUCAAAUGAAUUGACGGGG
rnacentral:rRNA from 1 species